CGAAAACGUCUUCCGGUUUACGCAGGUCGGACCGAUUCUUGCUCGGUCUCAACUCGUUCGAUCGGGUCGUUUUCGUC
rnacentral:tRNA from 1 species